rnacentral:sRNA from 2 species
GUGCGGGCCUAGGUCCACACACUCCUCACACCCCCCGGCCCGACGAGCUCGGGCUUU